UACGAAGGGGGCUAGCGUUGCUCGGAAUCACUGGGCGUAAAGCGCACGUAGGCGGCUUUUUAAGUCAGGGGUGAAAUCCUGGAGCUCAACUCCAGAACUGCCUUUGAUACUGAGAAGCUCGAGUCCGGGAGAGGUGAGUGGAACUGCGAGUGUAGAGGUGAAAUUCGUAGAUAUUCGCAAGAACACCAGUGGCGAAGGCGGCUCACUGGCCCGGUACUGACGCUGAGGUGCGAAGGCGUGGGGAGCAAACAGG
rnacentral:rRNA from 1 species